UGGUACUCCAACAACCUGUUCACAACCCCAAGGUAUGUAUUUUAGUAGUAUGUAAAUAAGUUACAAACAACAUUGUUGAUCAUUGAUAUGCAGAUUGUGAGAUAAUGCCAAGGAGACAAAAAUUGAUGUCUGCUACCUCAGAUUAGUUUGAAGAUGGAAGAUGGUACUCCAACAACCUGUUCACCACCCCAAGAUUGUGAGAUAAUGCUAAGGAGAGGAAAAUUGAUGCCUG
rnacentral:misc_RNA from 1 species